rnacentral:rRNA from 1 species
AGGCGGCUUUGCAAGUCAGGUGUGAAAACUAUGGGCUUAACCCAUAACGUGCACUUGAAACUGUGGAGCUUGAGUGGAGUAGAGGCAGGCGGAAUUCCCGGUGUAGCGGUGAAAUGCGUAGGGAUCGGGAGGAACACCAGUGGCGAAGGCGGCCUGCUGGGCUUUAACUGACGCUGAGGCACGAAAGCAUGGGUAGCAAACAGGAUUAGAUACCCUGGUAGUCCAUGCUGUAAACGAUGAUUACUAGGUGUGGGGGGUCUGACCCCUUCCGUGCCGGAGUUAACACAAUAAGUAAUCCACCUGGGAAGUACGACCGCAAGGUUGAAACUCAAAGGAAUUGACGGGGGCCCGCACAAGCAGUGGAGUAUGUGGUUUAAUUCGAAGCAACGCGAAGAACCUUACCAGGUCUUGGCAUCCAACUAACGAAGCAGAGAUGCAUUAGGUGCCCUUCGGGGAAAGUUGAGACAGGUGGUGCAUGGUUGUCGUCAGCUCGUGUCGUGAGAUGUUGGGUUAAGUCCCGCAACGAGCGCAACCCUUGUGAUUAGUUGCUACGCA